ACGGGAGUGGCUCAGGAGGCGGAGCGCGUCGUCUGGCAACCAGAAGGUCGCCGGUUCGAAUCCCCGGCUCCUCCUGGCUA